rnacentral:rRNA from 1 species
GAUCAUUAUCGUACAAAAUGUGAGGGGCAUGCAAGGGCUGUCGCCGAUUUCAGUCAGUCGUGCACGCCAGGGUGUGUCCCCUCACAUAAACAAUCCAUCUUCACCCCUUGUGCAUCACCGCGUGGGCUUCCCUCCUCGGAGGGGGGCUUGCGUUUUCACACAAACCCCCCCCCUUUUAAAAAGUGUAGAAUGAACUCAUGUAUAAUAUGCGUUAACCCGCAAUCAAUACAACUUUCAACAACGGAUCUCUUGGCUCUCGCAUCGAUGAAGAACGCAGCGAAAUGCGAUACGUAAUGUGAAUUGCAGAAUUCAGUGAAUCAUCGAAUCUUUGAACGCACCUUGCGCCCCUUGGUAUUCCGAGGGGCACACCCGUUUGAGUGUCGUGAACACCUCAACCUCUUUGGUUUCUUCUAAGAGACUGAAGCAGGCUUGGACUUUGGAGGCCUUUGCUGGCAAACGCCAGCUCCUCUUAAACAAAUUAGCAGGGUCCUCUUUGCCGAUCCUCGACGUGUGAUAAGAUGUUUCCAUGUCUUGGUUUCUGGCUCUGUCACCCUUUGGGACCUGCUUCUAACCGUCUUUGACCCUGUGGUYGAGACAAUGUUUUGAGCGUGCGCCUCCCUUCUCGGGAAGGAGCCCACUUGAACCCAAUUGAACCAUUGACCUCAAAUCGGGUGAGACUACCCGCUGAACUUAAGCAUAUCAUA